rnacentral:rRNA from 1 species
UGGGGAAUAUUGCACAAUGGGGGAAACCCUGAUGCAGCGACGCCGCGUGGAGGAAGAAGGUUUUCGGAUUGUAAACUCCUGUCGUUAGGGACGAUAAUGACGGUACCUAACAAGAAAGCACCGGCUAACUACGUGCCAGCAGCCGCGGUAAAACGUAGGGUGCAAGCGUUGUCCGGAAUUACUGGGUGUAAAGGGAGCGCAGGCGGGAAGACAAGUUGGAAGUGAAAACCAUGGGCUCAACCCAUGAAUUGCUUUCAAAACUGUUUUUCUUGAGUAGUGCAGAGGUAGAUGGAAUUCCCGGUGUAGCGGUGGAAUGCGUAGAUAUCGGGAGGAACACCAGUGGCGAAGGCGGUCUACUGGGCACCAACUGACGCUGAGGCUCGAAAGCAUGGGUAGCAAACAGGAUUAGAUACCCUGGUAGUCCAUGCCGUAAACGAUGAUUACUAGGUGUUGGGGGAUUGACCCCCUCAGUGCCGCAGUUAACACAAUAAGUAAUCCACCUGGGGAGUACGACCGCAAGGUUGAAACUCAAAGGAAUUGACGGGGGCCCGCACAAGCAGUGGAGUAUGUGGUUUAAUUCGAAGCAACGCGAAGAACCUUACCAGGUCUUGACAUCCGAUGCAUAGCUUAGAGAUAAGUGAAGUCCUUCGGGACAUCGAGACAGGUGGUGCAUGGUUGUCGUCAGCUCGUGUCGUGAGAUGUUGGGUUAAGUCCCGCAACGAGCGCAACCCUUAUUGCCAGUUACUACGUAAGAGGACUCUGGCGAGACUGCCGUUGACAAAACGGAGGAAGGUGGGGAUGACGUCAAAUCAUCAUGCCCUUUAUGACCUGGGCUACACACGUACUACAAUGGCGUUUAACAAAGAGAAGCAAGACCGCGAGGUGGAGCAAAACUCAAAAACAACGUCUCAGUUCAGAUUGCAGGCUGCAACUCGCCUGCAUGAAGUCGGAAUUGCUAGUAAUCGCGGAUCAGCAUGCCGCGGUGAAUACGUUCCC